rnacentral:tRNA from 1 species
GACCGCGUAACUCAGUUGGCAGAGCAUUGGGCCAGUAUUCCAAAGGUCGUAGGUUCGAAUCCCACCGUGGUCA